UACAGAGGUCUCGAGCGUUAGGCGGAAUCACUGGGCUUAAAGCGUGUGUAGGCGGAUCGGUAAGUACCUUGUGAAAUCCCACAGCUUAACUGUGGAACUGCUCGGUAUACUGCUGGUCUUGAGCCACUCAGGGGCUACCGGAACAAAUGGUGGAGCGGUGAAAUGCGUAGAUAUCAUUUGGAACGCCAAUGGUGAAAACAGGUAGCUGGGGGUGUGCUGACGCUGAGACACGAAAGCCAGGGGAGCAAACGGG
rnacentral:rRNA from 1 species